ensembl:lncRNA
GCGGAAACUGAGCGACAUUUAGGAGCAGUCUAAAGGACUUCUGUGCAACAGGCACCUGGGCUGCAAACUCACUGAAGGCUGGUCGGAGGAACUGUUGCACAAAAUCCCGCUGCGAUGUCUCUGCUGUGCGUUAGAGUAAAGAAAGCCAAACUCCACGGGCCCCCAGGCGAUGAUGACGGUAGAACAACAGCAAAGAGUGGGAGAUUGAGAAAUCAAGCUGGAGGACGGGAGAAGGAAAUCAAUAGAUCAUCACAGACAAAGGGCCACCUGCUAGCCUGAAAUGACUACGUGUCAUCCCGGCAUAAAGGAGACGAUGGAGACAAAUCUCUCAGUUUCUUUAGUAGACAGAGACAGACUCCAUACACGAGCGAUUUGUCACUGGCUGCCUUUGGCCUCUGAUUGACGAGCAAUUUCUCAGAGCAGGAGGGCGAGAUUUGAAUCCAGGGUGCAUGAAACGGGACAUGGGUGGUUGUGUCGGUGGCGCCUGUGGUGUCCUGUAGUUCCUCUGAACUACCUGC